rnacentral:rRNA from 1 species
GUCUACGGCCAUGCUACCCUGAACAAGCCUGAUCCCAUCUAAUCUCGGAAGCUAAGCAGGUUCGGGCCUGGCUAGUACUUGGGUGGAAGACCACCUAGGAAGACCAGGUGCUGGAGGCA